rnacentral:rRNA from 1 species
AUUGAACGCUGGCGGCAGGCCUAACACAUGCAAGUCGAACGGUAACAGGAAGAAGCUUGCUUCUUUGCUGACGAGUGGCGGACGGGUGAGUCAUGUCUGGGAAACUGCCUGAUGGAGGGGGAUAUCUACUGGAAACGGUAGCUAAUACCGCAUAACGUCGCAAGACCAAAGAGGGGGACCUUCGGUCCUCUUGCCAUCGUAUGUGCCCAGCUGGGAUUAGCUAGUAGGUGGGGUAACGGCUCACCUAGGCGACGAUCCCUAGCUGGUCUGAGAGGAUGACCAGCCACACUGGAACUGAGACACGGUCCAGACUCCUACGGGAGGCAGCAGUGGGGAAUAUUGCACAAUGGGCGCAAGCCUGAUGCAGCCAUGCCGCGUGUAUGAAGAAGGCCUUCGGGUUGUAAAGUACUUUCAGCGGGGAGGAAGGGAGUAAAGUUAAUACCUUGGCUCAUUGACGUUACCCGCAGAAGAAGCACCGGCUAACUCCGUG